GGAAUUUUGCGCAAUGGACGAAAGUCUGACGCAGCAACGCCGCGUGGGGGAUGACGGCCUUCGGGUUGUAAACCCCUUUCAGUAUCGACGAAGCCGUGAGGUGACGGUAGGUACAGAAGAAGCACCGGCCAACUACGUGCCAGCAGCCGCGGUAAUACGUAGGGUGCGAGCGUUGUCCGGAAUUACUGGGCGUAAAGAGCUCGUAGGUGGUUUGUCGCGUUGUCCGUGAAAACUCACAGCUUAACUGUGGGCGUGCGGGCGAUACGGGCAGACUGGAGUACUGCAGGGGAGACUGGAAUUCCUGGUGUAGCGGUGGAAUGCGCAGAUAUCAGGAGGAACACCGGUGGCGAAGGCGGGUCUCUGGGCAGUAACUGACGCUGAGGAGCGAAAGCGUGGGGAGCGAACAG
rnacentral:rRNA from 1 species